rnacentral:rRNA from 1 species
GACGUAGGGCGCAAGCGUUGUCCGGAUUUAUUGGGCGUAAAGAGCUCGUAGGCGGUCCAUCGCGUCGGGAGUGAAAAGCUGGGGCUCAACCCCAGUCCUGCUUCCGAUACGGGUGGACUAGAGGUAUGCAGGGGAGAACGGAAUUCCUGGUGUAGCGGUGAAAUGCGCAGAUAUCAGGAGGAACACCGGUGGCGAGGGCGGUCCCCUGGGCAUUCCCUAAGGCUGAGGAGCGAAGGCGUGGGAGCAAACAGG